UGGGGCGUGGCCAAGCGGUAAGGCGGGGGUCUUUGGAACCCUUAUUCGAAGGUUCGAAUCCUUCCGCCCCAACCA
rnacentral:tRNA from 1 species